rnacentral:rRNA from 1 species
UACGAAGGGGGCUAGCGUUGCUCGGAAUCACUGGGCGUAAAGGGUGCGUAGGCGGGUUUUUAAGUCAGAGGUGAAAUCCUGGAGCUCAACUCCAGAACUGCCUUUGAUACUGAAAGUCUUGAGUAUGGGAGAGGUGAGUGGAACUGCGAGUGUAGAGGUGAAAUUCGUAGAUAUUCGCAAGAACACCAGUGGCGAAGGCGGCUCACUGGCCCAUUACUGACGCUGAGGCACGAAAGCGUGGGAGCAAACAGGG